CCUACGGGAGGCAGCAGUGAGGAAUAUUGGUCAAUGGGCGCGAGCCUGAACCAGCCAAGUCGCGUGAAGGAUGACUGCCCUACGGGUUGUAAACUUCUUUUAUAAAGGAAUAAAGUGAGGCACGUGUGCCUUUUUGUAUGUACUUUAUGAAUAAGGAUCGGCUAACUCCGUGCCAGCAGCCGCGGUAAUACGGAGGAUCCGAGCGUUAUCCGGAUUUAUUGGGUUUAAAGGGUGCGUAGAUGGGUUGUUAAGUCAGUUGUGAAAGUUUGCGGCUCAACCGUAAAAUUGCAAUUGAUACUGGCAGGCUUGAGUAUGUUUGAGGUAGGCGGAAUUCGUGGUGUAGCGGUGAAAUGCUUAGAUAUCACGAAGAACUCCGAUUGCGAAGGCAGCUUACUAAGCUGCCACUGACAUUGAUGCACGAAAGUGUGGGUAUCAAACAGGAUUAGAUACCCGGGUAGUC
rnacentral:rRNA from 1 species